GGAUGUGAGGGAGAUGUGGCUGUGACAUUUGCCACCCCAUUGAUCGCCAGGGUUGAUUUGGCUUACCUGGUUGGCUCGGCGACUGCCCCCCUCAACACUGCAUGUCUGUCCCUCCUGAAGCUGCACGCUCAGUGGAAGAGGAUGACCAUCCCCCAUAGAAGAGGACCGGUCUUCGGUCAAGGGUCUACAAGUAGCUGUGCUCCCCUGCUACAACAUCCAAACAAGCUCUCAUUCUUGAUUUUAUUAUUUUAAGUCCUUUCUUAUUUUUCUUGGUCAGUCUAGCUAAAGUUUGUCAAUUUUGUUGAUCUUCUCCAAC
rnacentral:snRNA from 10 species